rnacentral:tRNA from 1 species
GGGGAUAUAGCUCAGUGGUAGAGCAUUCAACUACAGAUCGAGAGGCCCGUUGUUGAACACCGCGUGCCCCCU